AUCUGGUUGAUCCUGCCAGUAGUCAUCCGUUGUUUUCAAAGAUUAACCCAUGCAUGUGUAAGUAUAAAUAAUUUUACUUUGAAACUGCGAAUGGCUCAUUAUAUCAGUUAUAGUUUAUUAGAAAUAUUUUACUACUUGGAUAACCGUAGUAAUUCUAGGGCUAAUACAUGAGUAAAACCUCAACUUCGGAAGAGGUGUGUUUAUUAGUAUGAAAACCAUAUAUCUUCGGAUAUAAUAGUGAGUAAUAAUAACCUUUCAUAUCGUAUGUCGUAAGAUAACGAUAGUUCUUUCAAGUUUCUGCCCUAUCAGCUUUCGAUGGUAGUAUAUGGGACUACCAUGGCAGUAACGGGUAACGAAGAAUUUGGGUUCGAUUUCGGAGAGGGAGCCUGAGAGAUGGCUACCACAUCCAAGGAAGGCAGCAGGCGCGUAAAUUACCCAAUCCUGACAUAGGGAGGUAGUGACAAUAAAUCACAAUGCGGAACUUUUAGUUUUGCAAUUGGAUUGAGAACAAUGUACAAAUGUUAUCGAUAAACAAUUGGAGGGCAAGUCUGGUGCCAGCAGCCGCGGUAAUUCCAGCUCCAAUAACGUAUAUUAACGUUGUUGCAGUUAAAAAGCUC
rnacentral:rRNA from 1 species